UGGUCAAGUUAUUAAGGGUGCAGGGCGGAUGCCUUGGCACUAGGAGCCGAUGAAGGACGUGAUAAGCUGCGAUAAGCUUCGGGGAGUUGCACGUAAACUUUGAUCCGAAGAUUUCCGAAUGAGGAAACUCACUUAGAGUAAUGUCUAAGUAUCAUUAAGUGAAUACAUAGCUUAAUGAGGGGAACUCAGGGAACUGAAACAUCUAAGUACCUGAAGGAAGAGAAAGAAAUUCGAUUCCGUAAGUAGCGGCGAGCGAACGCGGAUUAGCCCAAACCAAUAAAGUUUUCUUUAUUGGGGUUGCGGA
rnacentral:rRNA from 1 species